GAGCCGCUCCUUAGCGCCCAGUUGCGCAAAUCAAAUUCUUUCCCGUUCUAUUUACUCCUGAUCAAGAGGGGCUGUCAGUCCAACCCUCCAGCUGUAGGCUCGUGCAUCUGCCAGUCUCUUGGCGCGUGGGGACCGCGUGGAAGUGCCUUCGCGUGUGCGUGCCAGCUGAGAUGAGACGUGGAAGCUGGAGGGGUCCGGCAUCCCAGAGAGGCGUGAGGCUCCCAAACGGCAUCCUUAGAAACAUCUCAAGACUUGCUGGAUGUUUGAAGGUCUCUCUGGAUUCCUAGCAGGUGGUCUGAUGCUCGAAGGUUUCCCACAGCUGGAUGGGAGGGAAUUCAGGGACGGAGUCUUGCUCUGUUGCCCAGGCUGGAGUGCAGUGACGUGAUCUCGGCUCACUGAAGCAUACAUUUUGAGAGUACCGUAACAGGGUUGGAGGCUGAUGGCCUAGCCCAUUGCCCCAUGCCUAGUCUCAUAGAACCUGGGUGGGACAGUGAGCUCUGGUCUCUUCCAGCAUGCCAGGGAGAAGUGGAGACCCUUGGACUGGAAGUGCUGGCCCCUCCUCACUCAGCCCCUUUCCAAGUACCUCAUUGCCAAGCACAGUGUGGGGAACUGAGGAUUCGGGGAAAAUAGCACAUGGGUGCACCUCUGCCUUCCAAGCACCUAUUGGCUCCAAUUCUCUUGCUUUUGUGAGAUUCUUCACACACAGCCACUUGCGUCUUGAAGGUUGACCCACUGGAGGUGUAGCAGGCUGGAAUGACCACCUGCUCAGGUCCACCCUAAUAACAUCAGCCAAGGCCUCUACAGCAGCCCCCAAGCUGCCUCUGGAUAGUUCAGACAAGGCCUCUGUGCUGUGAUGGAACCAGGUGACCCGCAGCCUCCGGGCCAGGGAGAGAAGACAGAUUUCCCUCAUGCAGGAAGACGUCUGACUCUGUGGCAAGCAGCUCUAUGUUGCAAUCUCCCUGUGAAAUCGCCUCAUAAGAAGAGUUAAAAGGAGGAACUAAAGGAGGCUGUGGAGAGAGACAUGUGCCCUAUAACAU
rnacentral:lncRNA from 1 species